rnacentral:rRNA from 1 species
UACGUAGGGGGCUAGCGUUGUCCGGAAUCAUUGGGCGUAAAGAGCGCGUAGGCGGCCAGAUAAGUCCGGUGUGAAAGUCAAAGGCUCAACCUUUGAAUGCCGCUGGAAACUGUCUGGCUAGAGUCCGGGAGGGGCGAGUGGAAUUCCUGGUGUAGCGGUGAAAUGCGCAGAGAUCGGGAGGAACACCCGUAGCGAAGGCGGCACUCUGGGCCGGUACUGACGCUGAGGAGCGAAAGCGUGGGGAGCGAACAGG